GACGAACGCUGGCGGCGUGCUUAACACAUGCAAGUCGAACGGAAAGGCCCUGCUUGCCGGGUGCUCGAGUGGCGAACGGGUGAGUAACACGUGGGUGAUCUGCCCCUUACUUUGGGAUAAGCCUGGGAAACUGGGUCUAAUACUGGAUAGGACCAUGCUGUAGGUGGUGUGGUGGAAAGAUUAGUUUCGGUAAGGGAUGAGCUCGCGGCCUAUCAGCUUGUUGGUGGGGUAAUGGCCUACCAAGGCGUCGACGGGUAGCCGGCCGGAGAGGGGGGACGGCCACAAUGGGACUGAGGUACGGCCCAGACGCCUACGGGAGGCAGCAGUGGGGAAUAUUGCACAAUGGGCGCAAGCCUGAUGCAGCGACGCCGCGUGGGGGAUGACGGCCUUCGGGUUGUAAACUCCUUUCAGCCAUGACGAAGCCCUUGUGGUGACGGUAGUGGGAGAAGAAGCACCGGCUAACUACGUG
rnacentral:rRNA from 1 species